rnacentral:rRNA from 1 species
UACGAAGGAUUCGAGCGUUAUCCGGAUUUAUUGGGUUUAAAGGGUGCGUAGGUGGAUUAAUAAGUCAGUGGUGAAAGCCCGGAGCUCAACUCCGGAACUGCCAUUGAUACUGUUAGUCUUGAGUACAGUUGAGGUGGGCGGAAUGUGUCAUGUAGCGGUGAAAUGCUUAGAUAUGACACAGAACACCGAUUGCGAAGGCAGCUCACUAAGCUGUAACUGACACUGAGGCACGAAAGUGUGGGUAGCAAACAGG